GACGAACGCUGGCGGCGUGCUUAACACUUGCAAGUCGAACGGAAAGGCCUCUUUCUGGGGGUACUCGAGUGGCGAACGGGUGAGUAACACGUGAGUAACCUGCCCUUGACUUUGGGAUAACUUCAGGAAACUGGGGCUAAUACCGGAUAUGAGCUCCUGCUGCAUGGUGGGGGUUGGAAAGUUUCGGCGGUUGGGGAUGGACUCGCGGCUUAUCAGCUUGUUGGUGGGGUAGUGGCUUACCAAGGCUUUUACGGGUAGCCGGCCUGAGAGGGUGACCGGCCACCUUGGGGCUGAGAUACGGCCCAGACUCCUACGGGAGGGAGCAGUGGGGAAUAUUGCACAAUGGGUGGGAGCCUGAUGCAGCAACGCCGUGCGCGGGAUGACGGCCUUCGGGUUGUAAACCGCUUUCGCUCAUGACGAAGCUUUGUGUGACGGUAGUGGGUAAAGAAGCACCGGCUAACUACGUG
rnacentral:rRNA from 1 species